CCCGCUACUCACUGCUCCUAAAAAGAGUUAGAGGAGUGGCUGAAAGAUAGGUCAAUUUCAGGAGGAGAGGUGUCCUGAUACCCUCCUCUUGAAAGAGUUCAAGUCGUAGGCAGGAGGAAAUACAGAUGAAGGAAGAUUGUUCCAGAGUUUACCAGCGUGAGGGAUGAAAGAGUGAAGAUGCUGGUUAACUCUUGCAUAAGGGGUUUGGACAGUAUAGGGAUGAAAGAGUGAAGAUGCUGGUUAACUCUUGCAUAAGGGAUUUGGACAGUAUAGGGAUGAAAGAGUGAAGAUGCUGGUUAACUCUUGCAUAAGGGUUUUGGCCAGUAUAGGGAUGAAAAAGUGAAGAUGCUGGUUAACUCUUGCAUAAGGGGUUUGGACAGUAUAGGGAUGAAAGAGUGAAGAUGCUGGUUAACUCUUGCAUAAGGGAUUUGGACAGUAUAGGGAUGAAAGAGUGAAGAUGCUGGUUAACUCUUGCAUAAGGGGUUUGGACAGUAUAGGGAUGAAAGAGUGAAGAUGCUGGUUAACUCUUGCAUAAGGGAUUUGGACAGUAUAGGGAUGAAAGAGUGAAGAUGCUGGUUAACUCUUGCAUAAGGGGUUUGGACAGUAUAGGGAUGAAAGAGUGAAGAUGCUGGUUAACUCUUGCGUAAGGGGUUUGGACAGUAUAGGGAUGAAAGAGUGAAGAUGCUGGUUAACUCUUGCAUAAGGGGUUUGGACAGUAUAGGGAUGAAAGAGUGAAGAUGCUGGUUAACUCUUGCGUAAGGCUUCCUAGGAGUGUGAGGCAUUUCCAGGGGUAGUUAUCUGAGCCUGGUGGUUGUUUGACCCUUCCUGUACUGUGAACCUGUACCUGAACCUAAGAAAACACUCAUUACAACCCGACCGAUCUCCUUUUUGGCAUUUGGAAAUAUUUGGUGUGAGAAGCGGAACCGUGGCGCAGAUUCUAGAUGCUUCGGCGGGGCGGAGAUAGACACGUGGCAGAGAGCUCUUUGGGUAGUUGGCGGUGAGAGGAGGAGGAGGAAGGGGUUGGUAGUGAUGUACCCGGGAGGAAGGAGGGGCGUUGGUGAGGGCGCCCAGACAACCCGGCAGACCCAUAUUCUCGGACCUUUCAGCGCCUUAGUAUAUCCAUUUAAAGAGGCUCUCGUAGAAGUUUUAGGGAUUGCCAAGGGGGGCGCAAGAUCUCCAGUGGUAGUUUUGCAAGAUUUCUACGCCACGAACAGGCAAAACACUCUUGUGAACCCGAUAGAUCUUUUAUAUGGCCUUCAAAAGUUGAUUGAGGGCAAGAACCCUGUUGGCAAGGAGGGAGGGACCUUGACACUGCUGCAUGCUAACAGGGAAGGAGGGGCUCACAAAGGCUCACUUGUUUUAGGGAGACGAAAAGUGGGAAAGAAAAUGUUGAAAAAUGUCCGAAAAGGUGAAAAAAUGUGCCACAAAAUGCCUGCAAUCAAGCAAAGUGUGAAGAAUUGUCAAAAGUAUAAAAUAUAUUAAAAAAGAGAUGGAGGAAAAGUUAAAAAAAUGUGCAAAAAUGUAUGGAAAGUGAUUUUUUUUAAAUAUACGAAGUUAAAAAUAUGAAAAAAAGUUACAAAAAUUCCUGACCAGAUGCCUGCCGGUACAAACCAGCUGAUGCAAAAUAACUUCAUCUUUUCUGUCCUGCCCUGCCACACGUAGGUUACUAGUAGUAGGGGCAGUAAACAGACACCCUCGCCAUAGACUGAUAGGUCUUCUGGUGUCUGUUCUUCCUAUGUAUUCCUAUGUAAAUAACCCAAUUGGCUUCCACAAGUGCCUCGAUCCUUGGCCAGCUUGAAGAGUUCUGCGUCCAGGCCGAGACGGUGAGCCUGGUGACUGUCCAGGAGGCAGACAGGGACAGACAGGGACAGACAGGGACGCAGUUUGGAGGCUGCUCCGGAAAAGGUCGAAAGGAAGAACCAAAGGAAGGAAGGAAGACCAUCUCAGAAGACCCCAGAGUCAGCCCCUACAGUCCAUCAUAGUCCAAGAAAUAGCUGAAGGAAGUCUCAAGUCCAAGCGACCUUCCUUUGUUUCUGAUUCAAGUCGUCUUUACCUUCAGCGAGGGGGCAAAGCGACCAUGGACCUCUCCCUUCCCUUCCUUUUCUUUCCCUUCCCUUCCUUUCCCUUCCCUUUCCUUCCCUUCCCUUCCCUUCCCUUCCCUUCCCUUCCCUUCCUUCCUUUCCCUUCCCUUUCCUUCCCUUCCUUCCUUCCUUCCUUCCUUUCCCCUCCCUUCCUUCCCUUUCCUUCCCUUCCUGUCCCUUCCCCUCCCUGUCAUCAGCCACACUGUGUCUGCCAUCCAUGUCUUGCAGCAGGCCAGCCAUUCUGACUUCCUCUUCUUCCUUCCAAGCAAGCAGUCACUCUCCUCCUCAGCACAUGACCCAGAAGCUUCACUUGUCCUAUGCUUUUCAUCAAGUGCCUGGCUGUCUGCUGCUGCUCUUUGUCAUAGAGUUAAGUUGUCAUUAUCUUAGUUAGUUAGUUAGAGGUCCAGAUAAUUGUUGUAAGGGCAAGACUCCUGUCCCUCCCUCUCCUUCCCUCCCUUCCUCUCCCUCUCCCCCAAGUUCCCAGUCUGUGGAGGUCCAGAUAAUUGUUGUAUGGGCAAGACUCCUUCCCUCCCUUCCUCUCCCUCUCCCCCAAGUUCCCAGUCUGCAGAGGUCCAGAUAAUUGUUGUAAGGGCAAGACUCCUGUCCCUCCCUCUCCUUCCCUCCCUUCCUCUCCCUCUCCCCCAAGUUCCCAGUCUGCAGAGGUCCGGAUAAUUGUUGUAAGGGCAAGACUCCUGUCCCUCCCUCUCCUUCCCUCCCUUCCUCUCCCUCUCCCCCAAGUUCCCAGUCUGCAGAGGUCCAGAUAAUUGUUGUAAGGGCAAGACUCCUGUCCCUCACUCUCCUUCCCUCCCUUCCUCUCCCUCUCCCCCAAGUUCCCAGUCUGUGGAGGUCCAGAUAAUUGUUGUAUGGGCAAGACUCCUGUCCCUCCCUCUCCUUCCCUCCCUUCCUCUCCACCUGUCCCCAAGUUCCCAGUCUGCAGAGGUCCAGAUAAUUGUUGUAUGGGCAAGACUCCUGUCCCUUCCUCUCCCUUCCUUUCCAGUCUUUCUCUCUUGUUCCA